GGGCAUGAGGCUGAGCAGAACUUCACUGGCCUUUGGUACCCUCACGAAGAGGGUGUAACUGAGACACAGCAAACGCUUCCUCCUGCGGGCAGCUGAGCCCAGGGAAGGGAGAAAAGAGAAUGCAGAGGUGACAGAGAGGGGAGCUGUUGGAAGUGAGCUGAAGCUGAAAUGAAUUCCUACUGCAUGCAGUUUGAACACUUGAUGGAUUUCCAGCUAUCUUGUGCCACCCCGUGUAAGAGAUGGGAAAUUACACGACUUUGUGACCUGAGUUUGGCAUUGGAGUCCUGCAGAUGAUAUUUCCGCAUUUUGAAUACACUUUUCAUUUUAUCAGCAACUGAAGAACAUUUUAAAAAGUACUGAAAGUAUUAAAUAUGACAAUUUUUCUUAAAACAUUAUUUCUUUAUACUUAAGCUAGCUCUACCUUUACAUUUGUAACUUACAUAUGAUAAUGUAUACAGCCCUCAGGCCAUCUG
rnacentral:lncRNA from 1 species